UAGGGAAUCUUCGGCAAUGGACGAAAGUCUGACCGAGCAACGCCGCGUGAGUGAAGAAGGUUUUCGGAUCGUAAAACUCUGUUGUUAGAGAAGAACAAGGACGUUAGUAACUGAACGUCCCCUGACGGUAUCUAACCAGAAAGCCACGGCUAACUACGUGCCAGCAGCCGCGGUAAUACGUAGGUGGCAAGCGUUGUCCGGAUUUAUUGGGCGUAAAGCGAGCGCAGGCGGUUUCUUAAGUCUGAUGUGAAAGCCCCCGGCUCAACCGGGAGGGGUCAUUGGAAACUGGGAGACUUGGGUGCAGAAGAGGAGAGUGGAAUUCCAUGUGUAGCGGUGAAAUGCGUAGAUAUAUGGAGGAACACCAGUGGCAAAGGCGGCUCUCUGGUCUGUAACUGACGCUGAGGCUCGAAAGCGUGGGGAGCAAACAGG
rnacentral:rRNA from 1 species